CUACGGGGGGCAGCAGUGGGGAAUAUUGCACAAUGGGCGCAAGCCUGAUGCAGCCAUGCCGCGUGUAUGAAGAAGGCCUUCGGGUUGUAAAGUACUUUCAGCGGGGAGGAAGGGAGUAAAGUUAAUACCUUUGCUCAUUGACGUUACCCGCAGAAGAAGCACCGGCGAACUCCGUGCCAGCAGCCGCGGUAAUACGGAGGGUGCAAGCGUUAAUCGGAAUUACUGGGCGUAAAGCGCACGCAGGCGGUUUGUUAAGUCAGAUGUGAAAUCCCCGGGCUCAACCUGGGAACUGCAUCUGAUACUGGCAAGCUUGGGUCUCGUAGAGGGGGGUAGAAUUCCAGGUGUAGCGGUGAAAUGCGUAGAGAUCUGGAGGAAUACCGGUGGCGAAGGCGGCCCCCUGGACGAAGACUGACGCUCAGGUGCGAAAGCGUGGGGAGCAAACAGGAUUAGAUACCCCGGUAGUC
rnacentral:rRNA from 1 species